GAUGAACGCUGGCGGCGUGCCUAAUACAUGCAAGUCGAGCGAACAGACGAGGAGCUUGCUCCUCUGACGUUAGCGGCGGACGGGUGAGUAACACGUGGAUAACCUACCUAUAAGACUGGGAUAACUUCGGGAAACCGGGGCUAAUACCGGAUAAUAUAUUGAACCGCAUGGUUCAAUAGUUAAAGACGCUUUUGCUGUCACUUAUAGAUUGAUCCGCGCCGCAUUAGCUAGUUGGUAAGGUAACGGCUUACCAAGGCGACGAUGCAUAGCCGCCCUGAGAGGGUGAUCGGCCAGACUGGAACUGAGACACGGUCCAGACUCCUACGGGAGGCAGCAGUAGGGACUCUUCCGCAAUGGGCGAAAGCCUGACGGAGCAACGCCGCGUGAGUGAUGAAGGUCUUCGGAUCGUAAAACUCUGUUAUUAGGGAAGAAGAAAUGUGUAAGUAACUAUGCACGUCUUGACGGUACCUAAUCAGAAAGCCCCGGCUAACUCCGUG
rnacentral:rRNA from 1 species